AUGUUGCAUUCCAGCUUGCUUGAGGUGGUCAUGGCUUUAAUGUACCCAGCAUUCAGUAUUUCCCAGAAGGUAACUCAAGAUCAACAGGUAAUGAGGGCGCAGGAAAAAGAAACUGUGACUCUGCCCUGCACAUAUGAUACCAAUGAACGAAAUUUUGGUCUAUUUUGGUACAAGCAGCCCAGCAACGGACAGAUGAUUUUCCUUAUUCGUCAGGAAUCUUACAACCAGCAAAAUGCAACAGAAGGUCGCUACUCCUUGAACUUCCAAAAAGAAGCUAAAUCCAUCAAUCUUGUCGUCUCAGCUUUACGGCUGGAGGACUCAGCAGUGUAUUUAUGUGCACUGAGAGAAGCCACAGUGAGAGAAAAGUUGGAGGAAGAUGCACGGAAACUUAGGGCUCUGCUUAAGAAACCCACCUGCAGGGACCUCUCGGGGAAUCAUCAGCACAGACAGGAAAUGGGGAGGACUGUGGUUACACAGGUGUGUAGGAUUGAAGGGAAGCUCUUCAUUCUAAGAAGCAUCUGA